rnacentral:rRNA from 1 species
GUGUCAGCAGCCGCGGUAAUACGGAGGGGGCCAGCGUUGUUCGGAAUUAUUGGGCGUAAAGGGCGCGUAGGCGGUCGGGUAAGUCUGACGUGAAAUCCCUUGGCUCAACCAAGGAACUGCGUCUUAAACUGCCCGGCUUGAGUCCGGGAGAGGGUAGUGGAAUUCCCAGUGUAGCGGUGAAAUGCGUAGAUAUUGGGAGGAACACCGGUGGCGAAGGCGGCUACCUGGACCGGUACUGACGCUGAGGCGCGAAAGCUAGGGUAGCAAACAGGAUUAGAUACCCCCGUAGUCC